AGGGUGGACGAUAUACCCUGCAUCAUAAAGGUUCCACUCAAGAAAAUGAGAGUGGAAGAUGCUGGCAUGUACACAGCACUGUCAGAGGCAAGAAGACCUCUGCAACCCUCAGAGUGAUAGAACAUAUGAGGAUUGUGUAUAAGAACUUCGUGACUUGAUAGUUACUGCUGGCGAGGAUGCCCAUUUUGUGUGUGAGCUGUCACAUGAGAACAUCCUUGAUGGAGUUUGGUUGCUUGAUUCCAGCAUACUGCAGGAGAACCAGAUUAACCAAAUUAGUAUCUGUGGCCGAGAACACCACCUGGUGCUCACUAUGAACACACUUGAAGAGUCCGAUAUUGAGUCCUUUCUGGUUAUUGAGUCCUUUCUGGUGGGAAAUGAGAAGACUUCGGCUUGUCUGCAGGGAAAUAGCAAACCUAAAGGAGAAACUUGAGGACAUGACCAUUUUUUAGGGAGAUUCUGUCACGGUGUCCUGUGUGACCUAUGACCCUUGCAUCCCUGUCAGCUGGAAACAGAAUAACGUGACCAUGCUCCCAGGAGAAAAAUAUAAACCUCUGAAAGAAGGGAAGCAUAAUCUUCUAAUUCAUAGAUUAAUAAAAGAGGACGCUGGGACUUACAUGUGUGAUACAGGAGACAUGCAGAGCAGUGCUGCUCUUAAAGUCAAGGCAGGUAGAUCCAAAACCAAGAAGCAGAAGAUGGUGAGAUUGCUUUUUGUGCUGUGAACUGUCUCAACCUGGAGUUGAAGUUGAGUGGAAGAAGAGAGCAGUUCUGCUAAGACCAAGGAACAAAUAUGAGAUGAAGCAGGAUGGAUGUGAGCUACAUCUACAGAUAAAUGAUCUCACAAGUCAGGACAGUGCCUACAGCCUACAGAUGUUGUGUAGAUGGCAUUGAGACAAGGGCCAACAUUACUGUGAAAGAUAUGAGCCAAACAGGCAUCAAAAU